ensembl:lncRNA
CUCCUCUUCCUUCAAUCCUGUCUCUCCUGAAAACAUUGUAGCCAAUCACAAUCAGAGCAGCAUAUGGAGAGGUUUUAUGGAGCCAUGUCUCUGAGAGGCAGAGGAAGUCAAGGUUGGAGUCUUUUUGAUUAGGGGGGAGUUCGGUAGUGCAUUUAACUAUCCCUCCUGCUUGCACUGGAUGCGGGGGACUAAUUAAAACAGCUUGCGUACCAGAAGCAGAGUCAGGGAUCGCACAUAGAAACUUGGAUAUGUUUGCAGAGUCAAAUUCCAUCUUGGAGCCGGGUGAGUCAGGAGAAACCAUGGGACCAUAGCACUCACCCACUUCCACAACAGCAACGAGGCCAUCCACCGCUUUCCACUCCGGUGAGUAUCGCUGGCUCAGUGAUGUUAGGCCCAGGAUUGAGUUACACAUCCCCAGAGAGCAGGAGGGUAGCGAACAUGUAGUUUAACAGUUUCCGAUAAAUGUUGGACUUGUUUGUUACGCCUAAUUGGUUCAGUGGAAUAGGGAGCGAGGUAGACUUGGCCAUUAUUCAGAACAUUAUGGUAUGCUGUGUACUGUCCGCUUCCGUGGAACGGUGAACCAAUGUGUUUGGUGUUGAUAUUCUCCGGCAGUAGAUUGAUUGUGUCAUCCCAGCAAGGACGCACUGAGAUUAUCAGUAGAGCAUCUACAUAACUGACAAUCAUGGCAAUGUACUGGAGAUAAAACAGAUAAUUGCGCUUUAAAUCUUUGCAUGUUACUUAGCUGGGGACUGCGUACACCUGAUAUUUAAUAACAGCAUUCGUAGGAGAAGCGGCACCUGCCGCACCUCCCU